rnacentral:lncRNA from 1 species
ACAUUUUUACAUGGUUCUGGUGCUCUGCCUGCAGGUCAAGAAGGAGCCAGUAUCUCCAGGAGGAGUGAGAGAGUGCUCUGCCAGUGUGAAGUGUGAAUCCUUGAGAGGCUGUGGCAAGGGUCCAUGCCUGAAUGUGUAGAACAAGAACAGCUGGAGGCUGUGGCUUUCUCCAGGAAGAGGUUUCUAAAUCUGCCUCUUAGAAGAUAUCAGAAAGUUAAAGUUUCUCUUGCUGCCGCCGUGUAAGAAGGACCUUUUGCCUCCCACCAUGAUUCUAAGUCCUCCCCAGCCACGUGGAACUGCUUUCAUUUGGUCUCUUUUCGAAUCAGAAGACCCAGAAAACUUGGAUCCACUUCUGGCUCUCAUCCCUCUGGGCAGUGUGAUUUGGAUUGAGCAGAUGCUCCGGCUGCCACUCCAUCAUAUAUUGGAAACAGCAUUACUUUAUAGUAAAUCAUGACCACGGUGUAUGGCAAUGAAGUUGCAUCUGAAGCAGCCGGCACCCUAUGUGCUAGCUGGCUUUUAGACCAGGAGACUGUGAAUCUGUGGUCAGGAUCUCUUUAGGGCUGCUAAAUAUAUACUACCCACUAUCACUCGCUGGAGCUGCAGACCCUAGUUUUAGAGUUUCACUUCUUAAAGACCUUCAUCCUUAUUAAAAUGGUAAUAUCCUUACUGUCA